UACAGAGGUCUCAAGCGUUGUUCGGAUUCAUUGGGCGUAAAGGGUUCGUAGGCGGUGUGGCAAGUCGGGAGUGAAAUCUCUGGGCUCAACUCAGAGACUGCUUCCGAAACUGCUGUGCUGGAGUGUGGGAGAGGCGCGUGGAAUUGCAGGUGUAGCGGUGAAAUGCGUAGAUAUCUGGAGGAACACCGGUGGCGAAGGCGACGUCCUGGACCGGCAUUGACGCUGAGGCGCGAAAGCCAGGGGAGCAAACGGG
rnacentral:rRNA from 1 species